rnacentral:ribozyme from 1 species
AUCCCUUCAGGAUUUCAGGAGUGGAGGCGGGGGAAAUAGGGAGGCUUACGUAUGGACACCCUUUUAGAUUCCCCUCCCAUGCUGUACCUUUUUCAAAACAGUAAAGAAGGAUUUGGGAUCCCAUUGAACGGAGAAGCAACCACUCACGUCUCGAAGGGGAGGAU